ACGAAUUAACUUUCAAAUUGUGAAGAUAAAUAAACAUGACAACAAUUGGACAAUGUUCAGUCCUCUUUUGUGUUGAUCAUUUUGUAUAUGAGUAUUCAAUUACUGUCUAAAAAAUAAUCUAGUCAUCCUGGAAUAUGUUUUAUCUGCACAUCUAAUGUAGCUCCCAAAACAAUCUAAACAAACGUGAAAGUUGACGCUAAAAAAUUCAGCAUCACCUAUAAAAAUGGCCUCUUGAGCACCAUGAAGUCCACCGUCUAGAUGCACAUGCACCCU
rnacentral:lncRNA from 1 species